UACGUAGGGUCCGAGCGUUGUCCGGAAUUACUGGGCGUAAAGAGCUCGUAGGUGGUUUGUCGCGUUGUUCGUGAAAACUCACAGCUUAACUGUGGGCGUGCGGGCGAUACGGGCAGACUUGAGUACUGCAGGGGAGACUGGAAUUCCUGGUGUAGCGGUGGAAUGCGCAGAUAUCAGGAGGAACACCGAUGGCGAAGGCAGGUCUCUGGGCCGAUACUGACGCUGGAGGGAGCGAAAGCGUGGGGAGCGAACAGG
rnacentral:rRNA from 1 species